rnacentral:tRNA from 1 species
GAGGGUAUAGCCCAGUGGUAGAGCACAUGCUUAGCAUGCACAGUCCUGGGUUCAAUCCCCAGGACCUCCA